AGUGAACGCUGGCGGUAGGCCUAACACAUGCAAGUCGAACGGCAGCACAGUAAGAGCUUGCUCUUACGGGUGGCGAGUGGCGGACGGGUGAGGAAUACAUCGGAAUCUACUUUUUCGUGGGGGAUAACGUAGGGAAACUUACGCUAAUACCGCAUACGACCUACGGGUGAAAGCAGGGGAUCUUCGGACCUUGCGCGAUUGAAUGAGCCGAUGUCGGAUUAGCUAGUUGGCGGGGUAAAGGCCCACCAAGGCGACGAUCCGUAGCUGGUCUGAGAGGAUGAUCCGCCACACUGGAACUGAGACACGGUCCAGACUCCUACGGGAGGCAGCAGUGGGGAAUAUUGGACAAUGGGCGCAAGCCUGAUCCAGCCAUACCGCGUGGGUGAAAAAGGCCUUCGGGUUGGAAAGCCCUUUUGUUGGGAAAGAAAAGCAGCAGGUUAAUACCCCGCUGUUCUGACGGUACCCAAAGAAUAAGCACCGGCUAACUUCGUG
rnacentral:rRNA from 1 species